GACGAACGCUGGCGGCGUGCUUAACACAUGCAAGUGAAGUAAAGCGGCGGACGGGUGAGUAAUGUAUGGGGAUCUGCCCGUAGAGGGGGAUAACUACUGGAAACGGUGGCUAAUACCGCAUACUAUAGGAUGAACCCAUAUGGGUUUAGCUAGUAGGUGGGGUAAAGGCUCACCUCGGCGACGAACUCUAGCUGGUCUGAGAGGAUGAUCAGCAACACUGGGACUGAGACACGGCCCAGACGCCUACGGGAGGCAGCAGUGGGGAAUAUUGCACAAUGGGCGUAAGCCUGAUGCAGCGACGCCGCGUGGGGGAUGAAGGCUUUCGGGUUGUAAACCUCUUUCGCUAUCGAACGGGUAGGUGGAGAAGAAGCGCCGGCUAACUACGUGCCAGCAGCCGCGGUAAUUC
rnacentral:rRNA from 1 species